GGGGUUCUGAGGGGAAGGUCCCCCACAUUGGAACUGAGACACGGUCCAAACUCCUACGGGAGGCAGCAGUGAGGAAUAUUGGUCAAUGGACGGGAGUCUGAACCAGCCAAGUAGCGUGCAGGACGACGGCCCUAUGGGUUGUAAACUGCUUUUAUAGGGGGAUAAAGUGUGCCACGUGUGGCAUAUUGCAGGUACCCUAUGAAUAAGGACCGGCUAAUUCCGUGCCAGCAGCCGCGGUAAUACGGAAGGUCCGGGCGUUAUCCGGAUUUAUUGGGUUUAAAGGGAGCGUAGGCCGUCUUAUAAGCGUGUUGUGAAAUGUCGGGGCUCAACCUGGGCAUUGCAGCGCGAACUGUGAGACUUGAGUGCGCAGGAAGUAGGCGGAAUUCGUCGUGUAGCGGUGAAAUGCUUAGAUAUCACGAAGAACUCCGAUUGCGAAGGCAGCCUGCUGUAGCGCAACUGACGCUGAAGCUCGAAAGCGUGGGUAUCGAACAGGAUUAGAUACCCUGGUAGUCCACGCGGUAAACGAUGGAUGCUCGCUGUUUGCGUCUGACGUAAGCGGCCAAGCGAAAGCGUUAAGCAUCCCACCUGGGGAGUACGCCGGCAACGGUGAAACUCAAAGGAAUUGACGGGGGCCCGCACAAGCGGAGGAACAUGUGGUUUAAUUCGAUGAUACGCGAGGAACCUUACCCGGGCUUGAACUGUAGGCGAACGAUUCAGAGAUGAAGAGGCCCUUCGGGGCGCCUAUGGAGGUGCUGCAUGGUUGUCGUCAGCUCGUGCCGUGAGGUGUCGGCUUAAGUGCCAUAACGAGCGCAACCCUUGUUCGUAGUUGCCAUCGGGUUAUGCCGGGCACUCUGCGAAGACUGCCUCCGUAAGGAGUGAGGAAGGUGGGGAUGACGUCAAAUCAGCACGGCCCUUACGUCCGGGGCUACACACGUGUUACAAUGGCAUGUACAGAAAGCUGGGUGUAUGCAAAUACGCUCGAAUCCCUAAAACAUGUCUCAGUUCGGACUGGGGUCUGCAACCCGACCCCACGAAGCUGGAUUCGCUAGUAAUCGCGCAUCAGCCAUGGCGCGGUGAAUACGUUCCCGGGCCUUGUACACACCGCCCGUCAAGCCAUGAAAGCCGGGGGCGUCUAAAGUCCGUGACCGCGAGGGUCGGCCUAGGGUGAAACCGGUGAUUGGGGCUAAGUCGUAACAAGGUA
rnacentral:rRNA from 1 species